rnacentral:rRNA from 1 species
AAUAUUGGACAAUGGGCGCAAGCCUGAUCCAGCCAUGCCGCGUGAGUGAUGAAGGCCUUAGGGUUGUAAAGCUCUUUCACCGAUGAAGAUAAUGACGGUAGACGGAGAAGAAGCCCCGGCUAACUUCGUGCCAGCAGCCGCGGUAAUACGAAGGGGGCUAGCGUUGUUCGGAUUUACUGGGCGUAAAGCGCACGUAGGCGGUUUGUUAAGUCAGGGGUGAAAUCCCGGAGCUCAACUCCGGAACUGCCUUUGAUACUGGCAAGCUAGAGUCCGGAAGAGGUAAGUGGAACUCCUAGUGUAGAGGUGGAAUUCGUAGAUAUUAGGAAGAACACCAGUGGCGAAGGCGGCUUACUGGUCCGGAACUGACGCUGAGGUGCGAAAGCGUGGGGAGCAAACAGG